rnacentral:rRNA from 1 species
CGCCUUGACUUGGCGGAUGCAUCUAGGAUUAGAGUUUGAUCCUGGCUCAGAUUGAACGCUGGCGGCAGGCCUAACACAUGCAAGUCGAGCGGUAGCACAGAGAGCUUGCUCUCGGGUGACGAGCGGCGGACGGGUGAGUAAUGUCUGGGAAACUGCCUGAUGGAGGGGGAUAACUACUGGAAACGGUAGCUAAUACCGCAUAACGUCGCAAGACCAAAGAGGGGGACCUUCGGGCCUCUUGCCAUCAGAUGUGCCCAGAUGGGAUUAGCUAGUAGGUGGGGUAACGGCUCACCUAGGCGACGAUCCCUAGCUGGUCUGAGAGGAUGACCAGCCACACUGGAACUGAGACACGGUCCAGACUCCUACGGGAGGCAGCAGUGGGGAAUAUUGCACAAUGGGCGCAAGCCUGAUGCAGCCAUGCCGCGUGUAUGAAGAAGGCCUUCGGGUUGUAAAGUACUUUCAGCGGGGAGGAAGGCGAUAAGGUUAAUAACCUUGUCGAUUGACGUUACCCGCAGAAGAGGCACCGGCUAACUCCGUGCCAGCAGCCGCGGUAAUACGGAGGGUGCAAGCGUUAAUCGGAAUUACUGGGCGUAAAGCGCACGCAGGCGGUCUGUCAAGUCGGAUGUGAAAUCCCCGGGCUCAACCUGGGAACUGCAUUCGAAACUGGCAGGCUAGAGUCUGUAGAGGGGGGUAGAAUUCCAGGUGUAGCGGUGAAAUGCGUAGAGAUCUGGAGGAAUACCGGUGGCGAAGGCGGCCCCCUGGACAAAGACUGACGCUCAGGUGCGAAAGCGUGGGGAGCAAACAGGAUUAGAUACCCUGGUAGUCCACGCCGUAAACGAUGUCGACUUGGAGGUUGUGCCCUUGAGGCGUGGCUUCCGGAGCUAACGCGUUAAGUCGACCGCCUGGGGAGUACGGCCGCAAGGUUAAAACUCAAAUGAAUUGACGGGGGCCCGCACAAGCGGUGGAGCAUGUGGUUUAAUUCGAUGCAACGCGAAGAACCUUACCUACUCUUGACAUCCAGAGAACUUUCCAGAGAUGGAUUGGUGCCUUCGGGAACUCUGAGACAGGUGCUGCAUGGCUGUCGUCAGCUCGUGUUGUGAAAUGUUGGGUUAAGUCCCGCAACGAGCGCAACCCUUAUCCUUUGUUGCCAGCGGUUAGGCCGGGAACUCAAAGGAGACUGCCAGUGAUAAACUGGAGGAAGGUGGGGAUGACGUCAAGUCAUCAUGGCCCUUACGAGUAGGGCUACACACGUGCUACAAUGGCGCAUACAAAGAGAAGCGACCUCGCGAGAGCAAGCGGACCUCAUAAAGUGCGUCGUAGUCCGGAUUGGAGUCUGCAACUCGACUCCAUGAAGUCGGAAUCGCUAGUAAUCGUAGAUCAGAAUGCUACGGUGAAUACGUUCCCGGGCCUUGUACACACCGCCCGUCACACCAUGGGAGUGGGUUGCAAAAGAAGUAGGUAGCUUAACCUUCGGGAGGGCGCUUACCACUUUGUGAUUCAUGACUGGGGUGAAGUCGUAACAAGGUAACCGUAAA